AGCUGGUGUGAUGGUAUUGGGUUAUCACAACUUAUUAACAUUAGUAUCACUACACUUGGUGUUAAUAUAUAACACCCCAUUGCUAAAUUUGACUGUCUUUAA
ensembl:misc_RNA Y_RNA Y RNA